GAUGAACGCUGGCGGCGUGCUUAACACAUGCAAGUCGAACGGGAAACCAUUUAUUGAAGCUUCGGCUGAUUUAGCUGGUUUCUAGUGGCGGACGGGUGAGUAACGCGUGGGUAACCUGCCUUAUACAGGGGGAUAACAGUCAGAAAUGACUGCUAAUACCGCAUAAGCGCACAGGACCGCAUGGUCCGGUGUGAAAAACUCCGGUGGUAUAAGAUGGACCCGCGUUGGAUUAGCUAGUUGGUGGGGUAACGGCUCACCAAGGCGACGAUCCAUAGCCGGCCUGAGAGGGUGAACGGCCACAUUGGGACUGAGACACGGCCCAGACUCCUACGGGAGGCAGCAGUGGGGAAUAUUGCACAAUGGGGGAAACCCUGAUGCAGCGACGCCGCGUGAAGGAAGAAGUAUCUCGGUAUGUAAACUUCUAUCAGCAGGGAAGAUAGUGACGGUACCUGACUAAGAAGCCCCGGCUAACUACGUGCCAGCCGCCGCCGUAAAAC
rnacentral:rRNA from 1 species